GACGGAGGGUGCUAGCGUUGUUCGGAAUUACUGGGCGUAAAGGGCGCGUAGGCGGCCCUGUCAGUCGGGUGUGAAAGCCCGGGGCUCAACCCCGGAACGGCACCCGAGACGGCAGGGCUGGAGACCGGGAGAGGAGGGUGGAAUAGCCAGUGUAGAGGUGAAAUUCGUAGAUAUUGGCUGGAACACCGGUGGCGAAAGCGGCUCUCUGGCCCGGUUCUGACGCUCAGGCGCGAAAGCUAGGGGAGCGAACAGG
rnacentral:rRNA from 1 species